rnacentral:rRNA from 1 species
UACGUAGGGCAGCAAGCGUUGUUCGGAGUUACUGGGCGUAAAGGGUGUGUAGGCGGUUUUUUAAGUUUGGUGUGAAAUCUCCCGCUCAACUGGGAGGGUGCGCCGAAUACUGAAAGACUAGAGUGCGGGGAGAGGAAAGUGGAAUUCCUGGUGUAGCGGUGAAAUGCGUAGAUAUCAGGAGGAACACCGGUGGUGUAGACGGCUUUCUGGACCGUAACUGACGCUGAGACACGAAAGCGUGGGUAGCAAACAGG